AUUUGAAACUGGCAGGCUAGAGUACUGUAGAGGGGGGUAGAAUUUCAGGUGUAGCGGUGAAAUGCGUAGAGAUCUGAAGGAAUACCGGUGGCGAAGGCGGCCCCCUGGACAGAUACUGACACUCAGAUGCGAAAGCGUGGGGAGCAAACAGGAUUAGAUACCCUGGUAGUCCACGCCGUAAACGAUGUCUACUUGGAGGUUGUGGCCUUGAGCCGUGGCUUUCGGAGCUAACGCGUUAAGUAGACCGCCUGGGGAGUACGGUCGCAAGAUUAAAAACUCAAAUGAAUUGACGGGGGCCCGCACAAGCGGUGGAGCAUGUGGUUUAAUUCGAUGCAACGCGAAGAACCUUACCUACUCUUGACAUCCAGAGAACUUAGCAGAGAUGCUUUGGUGCCUUCG
rnacentral:rRNA from 1 species